GGGGAUUUAGCUCAGUGGUAGAGCGCUUGCCUAGCAAGUGUGAGGCCCUGGGUUCGGUCCUCAGCUCCA
rnacentral:tRNA from 1 species